GGAGAGAUGGCUCAGUGGUUGAGAGCACUGGCUUCUCUUCCAGAGGACCUGGGUUCAAUUCCCAGCACCA
rnacentral:tRNA from 1 species